UUAUGGCCAUAUCAUGUUCAAACAGCGGUUGUCAUAGAAUCACUGAAGUUAAGCAGCAUCGAGCCUUGUAAGUACCUAGAUGGGUGACUGCUUGGGAAUACCAGGGCUUGUA